UACGUAGGGUGCAAGCGUUGUCCGGAAUUAUUGGGCGUAAAGAGCUCGUAGGCGGUUUGUUGCGUCGGCUGUGAAAUCCCGAGGCUCAACCUCGGGUCUGCAGUCGAUACGAGCAAACUAGAGUGUUGCAGGGGAGACUGGAAUUCCUGGUGUAGCGGUGAAAUGACGCAGAUAUCAGGAGGAACACCGGUGGCGAAGGCGGGUCUCUGGGCAACAACUGACGCUGAGGAGCGAAAGCGUGGGUAGCAAACAGG
rnacentral:rRNA from 1 species